rnacentral:rRNA from 1 species
AACGAACGCUGGCGGCGUGCCUAACACAUGCAAGUCGAGCGAGAAAGCCCGCAAGGGUGAGUACAGCGGCGCACGGGUGAGUAACACGUGGGUAAUCUGCCCCGAAGCUCGGAAUAACUCGCCGAAAGGCGUGCUAAUGCCGGAUAAGACCACGAGGACUUCGGUCCUUGAGGGAAAAGGUGGCCUCUGUAUACAAGCUACCACUUCAGGAUGAGCCCGCGGCCCAUCAGCUAGUUGGCGGGGUAAAGGCCCACCAAGGCUACGACGGGUAGCUGGGCUGAGAGGACGAUCAGCCACACUGGAACUGAGACACGGUCCAGACUCCUACGGGAGGCAGCAGUGGGAAUCUUGCGCAAUGGGCGAAAGCCUGACGCAGCAACGCCGCGUGUGUGAUGAAGGUCUUCGGAUCGUAAAGCACUGUCGGGAGGGACGAAUAGAUGCCGGGUGAACAAUCCGGUGUGAUGACGGUACCUCCAAAGGAAGCACCGGCUAACUCUGUGCCAGCCGCCGCUGUAACAC